UGGAUGUGAUGAAGAAAAGUUGGUCCGUGUUUCUGAUGUCCAGUGACAGAUAACCAAUCUUCAAUAUACUUCUGAUCCU